CUACAAAGGAAUUGACGGGGCCGCACAAGCGGUGGAGCAUGUGGUUAAUUCGACGCAACGCGAAGAACCUUACCAGGGCUUGACAUCCCCUGACCGCGUAUGAAAGUACGUUUUCACCCUCGGGUGACAGGGAGACAGGUGGUGCAUGGUUGUCGUCAGCUCGUGUCGUGAGAUGUUGGGUUAAGUCCCGCAACGAGCGCAACCCCUACGUUUAGUUGCUAACGCGUGAAGGCGAGCACUCUAGACGAACUGCCGUUGACAAAACGGAGGAAGGUGGGAUGACGUCAAAUCAUCAUGCCCCUUAUGUUCUGGGCUACACACGUGCUACAAUGGCCGGUACAGACGGACGCAAAGCCGCGAGGUGGAGCAAAUCCUAAAAAGCCGGUCUCAGUUCGGAUUGCAGGCUGCAAUUCGCCUGCAUGAAGUCGGAAUCGCUAGUAAUCGCAGGUCAGCAUACUGCGGUGAAUACGUUCCCGGGCCUU
rnacentral:rRNA from 1 species